AUACGAAGGGGGCUAGCGUUGUUCGGAAUCACUGGGCGUAAAGCGCACGUAGGCGGAUAUUUAAGUCAGGGGUGAAAUCCCGCAGCUCAACUGCGGAACUGCCUUUGAUACUGGGUAUCUCGAGUAUGGAAGAGGUGAGUGGAAUUCCGAGUGUAGAGGUGAAAUUCGUAGAUAUUCGGAGGAACACCAGUGGCGAAGGCGGCUCACUGGUCCAUUACCGACGCUGAGGUGACG
rnacentral:rRNA from 1 species